AUUACUUAUCAGUCUUUGGGCUAAGAUUAAGUGUAGUAUCUGUUCUUAACAGUCUAAUAUCUAAUAGUCCUCUACCUAAGAAUGAUAUAUUAAAUGGAUUUUGGAACUAGUGGUUAGAAUAGGAGCUUGCUGUGUCCACUCCACAUAUUGGCCUGGUACUGCAGUAUCUUCAGGAAUGGUGCACUCACC